rnacentral:rRNA from 1 species
CCAGACUCCUACGGGAGGCAGCAGUGAGGAAUAUUGGGCAAUGGAGGCAACUCUGACCCAGCCAUGCCGCGUGAGUGAAGAAGGUUUUCGGAUUGUAAAGCUCUUUCGGAUGUGACGAUGAUGACGGUAGCAUCUAAAGAAGCCCCGGCUAACUUCGUGCCAGCAGCCGCGGUAAUACGAAGGGGGCAAGCGUUAUCCGGAUUUACUGGGUGUAAAGGGAGCGUAGACGGCAGCGCAAGUCUGAAGUGAAAUCCCAUGGCUUAACCAUGGAACUGCUUUGGAAACUGUGCAGCUGGAGUGCAGGAGAGGUAAGCGGAAUUCCUAGUGUAGCGGUGAAAUGCGUAGAUAUUAGGAGGAACACCAGUGGCGAAGGCGGCUUACUGGACUGUAACUGACGUUGAGGCUCGAAAGCGUGGGGAGCAAACAGGAUUAGAUACCCCCGUA